rnacentral:rRNA from 1 species
UACGAAGGGGGCUAGCGUUGCUCGGAAUCACUGGGCGUAAAGGGUGCGUAGGCGGGUCUUUAAGUCAGGGGUGAAAUCCUGGAGCUCAACUCCAGAACUGCCUUUGAUACUGAGGAUCUUGAGUUCGGGAGAGGUGAGUGGAACUGCGAGUGUAGAGGUGAAAUUCGUAGAUAUUCGCAAGAACACCAGUGGCGAAGGCGGCUCACUGGCCCGAUACUGACACUGAUGCGCGACAGCGUGGGGAGCAAACAGG